rnacentral:rRNA from 1 species
UACGUAGGGUGCAAGCGUUGUCCGGAAUUAUUGGGCGUAAAGAGCUCGUAGGCGGUUUGUCGCGUCUGCCGUGAAAGUCCGGGCUCAACUCCGGAUCUGCGGUGGGUACGGGCAGACUAGAGUGAUGUAGGGGAGACUGGAAUUCCUGGUGUAGCGGUGAAAUGCGCAGAUAUCAGGAGGAACACCGAUGGCGAAGGCAGGUCUCUGGCAUUAACUGACGCUGAGGAGCGAAAGCAUGGGAGCGAACAGG